AGAGUUUGAUCAUGGCUCAGAACGAACGCUGGCGGCAUGCCUAACACAUGCAAGUCGAACGAGAAGCUAUCUUCGGAUAGUGGAAAGUGNCNCACGGGUGAGUAACGCGUGGGAACCUGCCCCUGAGGUUCGGAAUAACGAUUGGAAACGAUCGCUAAUACUGGAUGAGCCCUGAGGGGGGAAAGAUUUAUCGCCUUGGGAGGGGCCCGCGUCCGAUUAGCUUGUUGGUGUGGUAACGGCGCACCAAGGCUUCGAUCGGUAGCUGGUCUGAGAGGAUGAUCAGCCACACUGGGACUNANACACGGCCCAGACUCCUACGGGAGGCAGCAGUGGGGAAUAUUGGACAAUGGGGGCAACCCUGAUCCAGCAAUGCCGCGUGUGUGAAGAAGGCCUUAGGGUUGUAAAGCAC
rnacentral:rRNA from 1 species